AUCCCUGUCCUGUGUGUGUCCUGGGGCCUGUGCGCCUCGCGCCAGGUUGACACGCACCGGUGUCCUUGUGCUCUCUGGCUGGUUUCUGUCUCCGGACUCCCCACCACUCUUUCGUGCCGCGUGGGGGUGUCCCGGGGUUAGCAGUCCAAGGGCCGACACCUGGGGCCCCACCUUUGUGUAAGGACUAAAUCAUCUUUAAACUCGGAAAGUCUAGUUCUUUCUCUCUCUUCACACUCAGUGACGCUGGCGUCCUGCAGUGACGUUUUUAGUAACUUUUUCUCAAGGGCCUUAUGACUUCUGAGAAAUUCUGGAAUGCUGAUCUGAGGUCACAACAAAAAGAAAGAGCUGUGGAAACUCACCUGCCUGCUUUGGAAAACUGAAGAAGCAAGGACUAAAGUGACAACUUUGUGCUCUUGGCCUUCUAUAUAGGCACUUUCGCACAGUGACUAGACUUCAGAAACACCUGGAACCAAUACUGAGGCCAAUUUCCUGACUCAGAUUCAGAGAAUGUCCUGGGACCUUCAAAGAUACAUCUCUGGCCUCUUCCCCUCCGAUUUUUACUCUGUGGCAAAUACUAGAGGACUCUGCCAGACAUUUCCAACAAGCUGAUUUUUUUUACUUCCAAAGACCUUCUUACUGACUUUGAAGUCUCAAAGCCUCAGUAUAAGUAUUAACAUAGUUAGCCUUCAGGUACUGCCUGGUGCCACCAAACACACCUGUAUAAGCCCAAAUGUGGGAAUAUUGACUUAUUAUCAUUUGAUAGUCACAUUGAAAGGUCUAGACACUUAGAUUCACUCACUGGUCAGUGUCUGUCUUUUGCUUCUUUAUACCUGAACCCACCCAGCACGUGGCUAAAUCCAGAGUCCAUCUUCAAUAAAGGAAUAAAGAUUGAUGUUUAUUGAAGACUGAA
rnacentral:lncRNA from 1 species